UACAGAGGUCCCGAGCGUUGUUCGGAUUUAUUGGGCGUAAAGGGUGCGUAGGCGGCGGAGUAAGUUGGGUGUGAAAUCCCGGGGCUCAACCUCGGAAUGGCAUUCAAUACUGCUUCGCUAGAGUACUGGAGAGGAGGCUGGAAUUUACGGUGUAGCAGUGAAAUGCGUAGAUAUCGUAAGGAAGGCCGGUGGCGAAAGCGAGCCUCUGGAUAGUUACUGACGCUGAUGCACGAAGGCCAGGGGAGCAAACGGG
rnacentral:rRNA from 1 species